rnacentral:RNase_P_RNA from 1 species
CCAGUUGGCUGGGCAGCCGCGCUUUAUCAAUGCCGAAAGGCGGUAGGGUGAGGAAAGUCCGGGCUCCACGGAAACACGGUGCCGGAUAACGUCCGGCGAGGGCGACCUCAGGGAAAGUGCCACAGAAAGCAAACCGCCUGUCAUGACAGGUAAGGGUGAAAGGGUGGGGUAAGAGCCCACCGCAUCUCCGGCAACGGAAAUGGCACGGUAAACCCCACCGGGAGCAAGACCGAAUAGGGAUGACGUGGCAGGCCGAAAGGCCUUCCGGCCGGUUUCCAGGCCAGCCAUCCGGGUGGGUUGCGCGAGGCAGCGUGCGAGCGCUGUCCCAGAGGAAUGGCUGCCACGUUCCGGUUCACGCCGGAGCCAUACAGAACCCGGCUUACAGGCCAACUGGCGAU